rnacentral:rRNA from 1 species
GACAGAGGGUGCAAACGUUGUUCGGAAUUACUGGGCGUAAAGCGUGUGUAGGCGGUCUGCUAAGUCGGGUGUGAAAGCCCUGGGCUCAACCCCAGGAAGUGCACUCGAAACUGGCAGGCUAGAGUACUGGAGAGGUUGGUGGAAUUCUCGGUGUAGAGGUGAAAUUCGUAGAUAUCGAGAGGAACACCUGUGGCGAAGGCGGCCUUCUGGACGGUGACUGACGCUGAGACGCGAAAGCGUGGGGAGCGAACAGG